UAAUAUUGUAAGGAAACAACAGAUGUUCCUUACAAGCUGUACUCAGUCUCACUAAUGCCGGGAGCUCAUAGUAUGUGACUGCAGUAAAAACAGUAUAAAUCAAAGGAUCUGCAUACCUUGCAACAUUGACAGCAAAAUGAUUAUCAUUUGAUUGUUAAAGAAUUACAAAUACACUUAUAUGGGAUCGGCUGUGCUACUACCCAAGACUUCUGGAAAUGCAAUUAUGUUCCUAUUGACUGUUGAGGCUGCGUUAAAAUGUUUGUAUUUAUGAAACCUUUAAAGUAAAUCUGUAAUGGGAA